rnacentral:tRNA from 1 species
GGACAGGUGGCCGAGUGGUUGAAGGCACCACCCUGGAAAGGUGGCAUACGGGUAACCGUAUCGAGGGUUCGAAUCCCUCCCUGUCCG